rnacentral:misc_RNA from 1 species
GGCGCGUAGCUAACAACUUCAAGCCACACCACUACCAGCACCAACAAGAAGAAAACAAACAAACAAACAAGCAAGCAAGAUCCACAAAAUCUUAAGGACAAAAAUAACUCUUUUUUUUAAUUAUAUUAUUUAUUUUUAUUUUUAUUUUAUUAGUAUUUUUCUUAUUUUGAAAUUGGGGACUGUCGUGUUGGAAGAGGAGCGAUUUAGUGUUAUCUG